rnacentral:rRNA from 1 species
GACGAACGCUGGCGGCGUGCCUAAUACAUGCAAGUAGAACGCUGAAGGAGGAGCUUGCUUCUCCGGAUGAGUUGCGAACGGGUGAGUAACGCGUAGGUAACCUGCCUGGUAGCGGGGGAUAACUAUUGGAAACGAUAGCUAAUACCGCAUAAGAGUAGAUAUCGCAUGAUAGCUGCUUAAAAGGUGCAAUUGCACCACUACCAGAUGGACCUGCGUUGUAUUAGCUAGUUGGUGAGGUAACGGCUCACCAAGGCGACGAUACAUAGCCGACCUGAGAGGGUGAUCGGCCACACUGGGACUGAGACACGGCCCAGACUCCUACGGGAGGCAGCAGUAGGGAAUCUUCGGCAAUGGACGGAAGUCUGACCGAGCAACGCCGCGUGAGUGAAGAAGGUUUUCGGAUCGUAAAGCUCUGUGUAAGAGAAGAAACGAGUGUGAGAGU